rnacentral:rRNA from 1 species
GCGGGCGUAGCAAUACGUCAGCGGCAGACGGGUGAGUAACGCGUGGGAACGUACCUUUUGGUUCGGAACAACACAGGGAAACUUGUGCUAAUACCGGAUAAGCCCUUACGGGGAAAGAUUUAUCGCCGAAAGAUCGGCCCGCGUCUGAUUAGCUAGUUGGUAGGGUAACGGCCUACCAAGGCGACGAUCAGUAGCUGGUCUGAGAGGAUGAUCAGCCACAUUGGGACUGAGACACGGCCCAAACUCCUACGGGAGGCAGCAGUGGGGAAUAUUGGACAAUGGGGGCAACCCUGAUCCAGCCAUGCCGCGUGAGUGAUGAAGGCCCUAGGGUUGUAAAGCUCUUUUGUGCGGGAAGAUAAUGACGGUACCGCAAGAAUAAGCCCCGGCUAACUUCGUGCCAGCAGCCGCGGUAAUACGAAGGGGGCUAGCGUUGCUCGGAAUCACUGGGCGUAAAGGGUGCGUAGGCGGGUCUUUAAGUCAGGGGUGAAAUCCUGGAGCUCAACUCCAGAACUGCCUUUGAUACUGAAGAUCUUGAGUUCGGGAGAGGUGAGUGGAACUGCGAGUGUAGAGGUGAAAUUCGUAGAUAUUCGCAAGAACACCAGUGGCGAAGGCGGCUCA